UUUGUUUUCUUGGUUUUCAUUUGUCCUUUCUUGAGCUAUGAAAAAUAAGGCACACAAAACACACCACCCUAUUUGAUCUUGGGAGUAAGAUCAGACUAAUAAGGACACAUGCACAUUUCUAGGAUUUCUGAUGGAUCUUAAACACCUCACUGAAACUGUAUCUGUGUCUUAUUUAGGAUUCCAAAGCCCUGAAUGAGAAGAUAUAAAUAGCCUCAAGGAAUUGUAGAUGAAUUUGGAUGGACCUAGACACUCGGGUUGGCUCUUCAGGAGGAAAGCAGAUUGCAACAGUGACUGAAGGGAAGACCAGAAGAAUAGAAGAAAAUUGUAAGAACAAAAUUAACAAACAAGAUCCUUGGCCAGAUGUCAGCUGAGAGCUUCCAUUGAAAGGAUUGCUGUGGAAGGAUGGUGAGUGACGGUCAUAGCAAAUCUUCAGAUCAGUCCCUGCAGGAGCCAUGGAGAGGCCAAGGUAACAUUGGAGCACAACCUUUGGGAGAGAGACAUCAGACUAGAAGUUAAUCCAACCUCAGGCUUCAGCCCCGAAUGCCAGGAAGAUAGGGUGUGCCCAGGUGGACAAGAGACAUCACUUCAGAGGUCAGAGAAGAGGCCCUAGGGCAUGAGAUGUCAAC
rnacentral:lncRNA from 1 species